AAAAGUCGUAACAAGGUUUCGUCAAAGAUCCUUCUUGGAAGCCUCCCGCACAGCGACUAUAACCACGUGCAUAGUCUAGUUAGGUCUAGGCGACGUCGCCCCUGUGCUGGAACCCUGUCAUCGUGAUAGCGGACCAGCAGCCAGGUUCCCUGGUUCACAGAUUAGGUGGUGGCGGUCCCAAAUUUCCCCUGGGAUCAAGAUAUAAUCGGUCUCCACAGUCGGUGGCUGUGGUUGAGAAACGUUCCGUAGGUGAACCUGCGGAAGGAUCAUUA
rnacentral:rRNA from 1 species